rnacentral:rRNA from 1 species
AACGGCCGUACCACGCUGAAUAUACCGGUUCUCGUUAGAUCACCGAAGUCAAGCAUCACUGGGCGCGGUCAGUACUUGGGUGGGUGACCACCUGGGAACACUGCGUGCCGUU